UCACACAAAAAUGAGGAGGAUGCAAACAGGGGGCAGAAAGGAGGAGGGCAAGAGGAGAAACAGUGAGAAAUGAAAUUAAACAGUGUCCAUGGGUAGUGACAGUAAGUGUUGUUCAGACUGCACCAGCUUGCAGCCAGAGUCUGGCUGAUGUAGCUGAUUCUUAACAAGCUGUUAUCACACUGCAGCACUGAGUUAGCUCAUGAUUUAACACUCAUUCUGCAUUUAAACACUGCAUCAUACACAUGUAGAAGAUGGAUUGCUGUCAUUUCCUGCCCCCUUGAUACAUUUUCCAAAUUUUUCUUCUCACUUUUCCUUCCAAUAUGGCACCCUGUGCUCCGAGGAUAUGACCCAGUUUCACUCGCUGAUCCAAUCCAACGUGACACAAGUUCAAAGGUUUGUAGCUAAAACCACGUCCUGCAGACAUUUAGCUCAAUCCAAGUGGAGACAGGAACGGUUCAUAUGCAGCAUUUCAUCUGUAAGCCUACUUCAAAUUCAUUUGCAUAAUUAGAUUUGUGCAGAUAUUUGUUUGAUAAAUAUAAACUAAAGUUGAUUACAUAUUGUUUUACCAGACAUGGAUGACUCAUUGACAGCAAUCAAACCCUUCUUCUAAGUGCUGAGCAGCUUUUUGCAUGUUUCCACUGAUAUUUGAAGGAUUUGUCUUGAAGAUGGGAAAUCUGGUGAGCCAUCAACCAGGGGUGUGAAAAAUAUUGAGCUCAACUGUACAUCAUCCAAUGCUAGAUCCUAAGAUAAACUGGCGCUUUUACAUUGAUGUUAGGAAGUUUCCCAGCAGGCUCAGUGCUGAAACAAUGUAUGUUGACUGGGGAGGAGGAAGAUGCAACCACAUUCCUAAUCGUUAGGAUGUUUACUGCUCAUGUUAGUCCUUUCCGAUUCUAGGGCUGAAGGUCUGAGCUACAGAGAGGCAUGGACUGGCUGGGUCUGACCAAGGUCAUGCUGGUCCGACUGAAACAUUACCAACUGCUGAUUGGCGCAGGACUAUUAUUAGCAUGUUGAGAACAUGAAAGAGAAAGUGUGUCAGCUUACGGUUUUGCCUGUUUGUUGGAAAACCUGCAGCAGAGAUGUGGCUUUGCAUAAAUGUAAUUCAACAAUAAAGGCCUCUGAUUUACCUGCGGGCAAACUGGAAGUUGGAAGAGGUGCUAGCAGAGAUAUUCCUGGGGCUUUCUG